rnacentral:rRNA from 1 species
UACAGAGGUCUCAAGCGUUGUUCGGAUUUACUGGGCGUAAAGAGCGCGCAGGCGGUCGUUCAAGUCGCGUGUGAAAGCCCCCGGCUCAACUGGGGAGGGUCACGCGAUACUGAUCGACUGGAAGGCAGGAGAGGGUAGUGGAAUUCCCGGUGUAGUGGUGAAAUGCGUAGAUAUCGGGAGGAACACCGGUGGCGAAGGCGGAUCUCUGGCCUUGCCUGACGCUGAGGCGCGAAAGCUAGGGGAGCGAACGAGG